CACGUGGGAAAUCCAAGCCGUCCAUCAGGUUGGGCAGCCAACCUUAAGUCUCAUAUAAAAUUCCUAUCUCAACAUUGAGUCUUUGUUUGCCUACAAAAAGAAUCCAAAACCAAAACCAAAACCAUUUUCUCACUCAAUUCAGGAAGCUUGUAACUUGGUUUUUGUAAUGGGAAAGCUUUGCUGCUCGGAAUCUGACGAUGGCGGCGGCGGCAUCGAUCUCAUGGGAAUCCUCGUCGCAAUGGUCAUUGCUCUAGUCCUUAUGCUAAUCUGCUUGCAGCCGCCGCGCCGGAGGAUGGUGACCGUUCGUUGUUGUUGAUCGGGACCGAUGCCCGCUUGAGGAAUAAAUCAGAGCUGUGUUUGGAAAGAAGGAAAACAACAUGGCCCACCUGAUGGAAAGCUUAGAAACCAGAUUGGUAAUUGUGAUUCUCUCCAGAUGUACUUUUUCUGUAGUAAGAUUGUUGUUGAGUUGAAUAAAUACAUUGUAGCUGAGAUUUGAAUGGUGAAAUUACAUUUCGUUUUUGCAAGUUUUUA